CUGAUUCUUUGGACAUGUACUGAUACCCUCUACAGCGCAGGCCAGAUACUGAUUUGGUGAUGAGUCUGUAACUGUGGCUGUGGCAUUCACUGACUGUGCUGAAGUGCCAAAACACCUCACUGUCAUCUGAUUCCUUUGCUUUGGACCUUUUGUAAAGGAACUCGCGGAAGUCGUGGCGUCGUGCUCGCUCAUUCACACUGAAAGUCUGAAACACUACACAGGAUAACUAAACGGAGCGCUUUCUGCUGACUCUGUACUCUGCUGUUCUGUGGAAGAGGAUCCACCUACUGCGGACUGGAGAAAGCACGUGUUCUCAGCCACUAACUUGACUUUCCUUCUUCCCCACAACUAAAAAUGUUCAGUUUCGUUGCAAGAAGUACUAGUAUACCUGCAAAUAGACAAAUCCUUGCCUCUGCAAAUCGGAUGGUGCUUUUUUCUUGUCAGCGGGCCUGUCUCGUUCGGUCAAUUUUCCAACAGCUCUACUCUAAUAGUCUCUAUGCCGCUUGACUGGCGAUGGUCGUCUACCAAGGAUCAGAUUUGUUGCAAAGAUUCUCACAAGCAGAUGGAUUUAGACAAUGUUCAAAAACCCUAUAGCAUGGGCAGCAGACUCCGGUCUUGCUCUCGACACGGUGUCGUGUAUUUGCUGUUGAGUUUCUUGCUCGCACUUUCCGUUCCACGUCUCGUCACCUUUCCAAAAACUUCGUUCCUGCACCCUGGCCUGGGUCGUGUUGUCGUGUCUACCGCUGUUUUCGACGGUGCAUGCAUGUACUGAUCACACAUACACGGGCCGGGAGAAUGAGGCCCCGUGGUUAGGACCUGCGGGUGCCAUUAUGCAGCAUCAGCCAUACUCAUCCACAGUAGCAAACAAGACUGUAAGAACAGCGAGCGCCUGUGCCGGGUCUAGUUGCACCUUCCUGCUGCAGCCGAGUAUGGGAGGUUCUCUAUUGUCAUUACGACCAACUGGUGAUGGUAUUUCGCGUCGAACCUAGUAUUUCUCUUCCUCCCAUGCGGGCGUGUAUGUUUCCCCCUGCCGGCGCAUUGACACGUGAUGAGUAACGCAUGCUGUGUAACACGGCGUUACCUAUCAUGGAAGAAGUAUUUUACUCGGUUCACCCAGCUCUACAAGCACCAUGAAUCUCGCACCAUAUCCGCGUGUACAUUUUGUCCGUUGAUCUGCAGACUACUGGUACUACCACCCAGCAGCUGGAUCAGAAAAAAAUGAUCGACAGGAAGCGAGCGUGGACGAUGCGUGCGUACAUCUUCGUGCGCAUGGUGUCUUCUGCAGAUCUCCUCGUUCAACGGAGCACUUCCGAGGUGACAAUCGAAGCGAGUUGAUUUCUGCUCUAUUUGCCGUAUGACGGUGUCUAGGAAUGUUUGGUUAUGUCCAGCAUAGACCUAGUUUCUUGGCGUGGCUAAGUUUAGAGUGGCAAGUGUUGUAAGUAUGCUUGACGACAAUCGAAUGCCUUGUUCAGAGCUCCAAAUUGUCUUAUUCACAAGCUAAUUUCUAGCUUCCUUUCUUUGUCUGCUAAGAAAGACCCGAGUCGCCCUGUUACACAAGUGGAGAUGAGCCGGGAACACAAUACUAGAUAUUCUCGAGGGCACGUGUUUACAGUCACGGGAUCUUGUAGCGACAAGCUGAGCUGAUUCACUACAACGUUACAGGUAAUACAGUUGUUCUACUUCUUAUCGCUACCUUUCGUAUCUACCUUGGCUAAAGUGAUUUCACAAGGUUCGGGAUCAAUACAGGGCCAAUGCAUGUAAUCGUGCUCGCGAGGCAGGUAGAAGUGCUGGACAACGGCCCGGGGGCAUGCAGUGAUAUAGAAUUUGUUGAGAAUUUCAUGUUUUGAUGGCUUCUUGUCAUGCUGUACCAUGGACCCUUUGCAGCAAGGCCGUGUUGUUUCCUCCUCGAGUUGCGGCCAUAAAAACAAGACAUUGGUGUCGGGUAACACCACAUCGCACUCGAAUUUCCCUUCAUUCCUGUUGUCCAUCUCCAUCUCUGGAACAGUGAAAGUGUCUGCCAGCAUCCUGACACUUGACACAGUCCUGCAUUUGCUUUUAGGAAGAGUUCAACUGUGCAUGGCUGCUGCAUGCACUGGACUUUCCACUGCAAACACCUGUACUGUAGUGUAGUGCUGGCAGGAUACUUACAUUAUUGUACUCUGCACUGUGACCAACUAAUCACCGACUCAGUCAAGUACACAAGUCAUUGGAAGAAGGUGAAGCAUAGUUAUGUGAAGGAUGAAGCUGAAGCGGGAAUGCACCACCCUGAGGAUGAAACUGUCAAAUGAGUCAAUACCGUCAAUCUCAGGGGUCAUGGAUUGUUGGCGGCUUGGAAUCAACCCUGCAUUGAUCACACUGGCAGACUGUCCAGUACAGCCCUGCAAUACGUGUUCCUUCAUCAGCUUGUGCGAGGGUGAGGAAUCGUGCAGCAGAGGUUCCAGGUACUGUGUAUAUGCGUCCUGCAGUUUACCUAACCAUUCUAGUAAGCCGGGCUUCAUCUGAUGGUGCUUCAUCAGCAGACUUGAAGCAUCAAACGGUGGAGCAUUUCACACAAUCAGACCGAGGUACACGUUAUUGCAUGAGCCUCUCCUUACAUGAUGGCAACAAUUUAAUUUCAUUACUUACAUGCCCAACCACAUGUAUGGAUUCCACACAUUGCCAAAAUCACAAUGGCUUCCAAGUUUCAAGUCAUGCCAAUGGUAA